rnacentral:rRNA from 1 species
GAUGAACGCUAGCGAUAGGCUUAACACAUGCAAGUCGAGGGGCAGCAUGGUCUUAGCUUGCUAAGGCUGAUGGCGACCGGCACACGGGUGCGUAACGCGUAUGCAACUUGCCUCACAGAGGGGGAUAACCCGUCGAAAGACGGACUAAUACCGCGUACACUCUAUGUUGGGCAUCCAAUGUAGAGGAAAUGAAAUUCGCUGUGAGAUAGGCAUGCGUCCCAUUAGCUAGUUGGUGAGGUAACGGCUCACCAAGGCGACGAUGGGUAGGGGAACUGAGAGGUUGAACCCCCACACUGGGACUGAGACACGGACCAGACUCCUACGGGAGGCAGCAGUGAGGAAUAUUGGUCAAUGGGCGAGAGCCUGAACCAGCCAAGUCGCGUGAAGGAUGACUGUCUUAUGGAUUGUAAACUUCUUUUAGACGGGAAUAACAAGAGUCACGUGUGGCUCCCUGCAUGUACCGUAUGAAUAAGCAUCGGCUAACUCCGUG